UGCAAGUCGAACGGUAAGUAGUGUAGCAAUACAUUGCCUAGAGUGACGUACGGGUGCGUAACACGUAUGCAACCUACCCAAAACAGGCGGAUAGCUCGGGGAAACUCGAAUUAACCCGCCAUAAUAUAAUUGAAUGGCAUCAUUUGAUUAUUAAAACUCCGGUGGUUUUGGAUGGGCAUGCGUCUGAUUAGUUAGUUGGCGGGGUAACGGCCCACCAAGACGAUGAUCAGUAGGGGAACUGAGAGGUUGAUCCCCCACACUGGCACUGAGAUACGGGCCAGACUCCUACGGGAGGCAGCAGUAGGGAAUAUUGGUCAAUGGGUGCAAGCCUGAACCAGCCAUGCCGCGUGCAGGAAGAAGGCCUUCUGGGUUGUAAACUGCUUUUAUCGGGGGAUAAAAUGACUGUGCGCAGUUAAUUGAAGGUACCCGGUGAAUAAGCCACGGCUAACUACGUGCCAGCAGCCGCGGUAAUACGUAGGUGGCAAGCGUUGUCCGGAUUUAUUGGGUUUAAAGGGUGCGUAGGCGGCCCUGUAAGUCAGUGGUGAAAUGCUCUAGCUUAACUAGAGAGGUGCCAAUGAUACUGCAGGGCUUGAGUACAGAUGAGGUAGGCGGAAUUGACGGUGUAGCGGUGAAAUGCAUAGAUAUCGUCAAGAACACCGAUAGCGAAGCAGCUUACUGGGCUGUAACUGACGCUGAUGCACGAAAGUGUGGGGAUCAAACAGGAUUAGAUACCCUGGUAGUCCACACUGUAAACGUUGAUUACUCGCUGUUUGCGAUACACAGCAAGC
rnacentral:rRNA from 1 species